rnacentral:rRNA from 1 species
UACGGAGGGAGCUAGCGUUGUUCGGAUUUAUUGGGCGUAAAGAGCUCGUAGGCGGCCACCGCAAGUCGACUGUGAAAUCUCCGGGCUUAACCCGGAAAGGUCAGCCGAUACUGCGGGGCUAGAGUGCAGAAGGGGCAACUGGAAUUCUCGGUGUAGCGGUGAAAUGCGUAGAUAUCGAGAGGAACACCUGCGGCGAAGGCGGGUUGCUGGGCUGACACUGACGCUGAUGCGCGAAAGCUAGGGGAGCGAACGGG